rnacentral:rRNA from 1 species
UGGGGAAUUGUUCGCAAUGGGCGCAAGCCUGACGACGCAACGCCGCGUGGAGGAUGAAGAUCUUCGGGUCGUAAACUCCUGUCGAGUGGGACGAACGGCCUGCCGGUGAACAAUCGGCGGGAGUGACGGUACCACUCAAGGAAGCCCCGGCUAACUCCGUGCCAGCAGCCGCGGUAAUACGGGGGGGGCAAGCGGUGUUCGGAAUUACUGGGCGUAAAGGGCGCGUAGGCGGCAUGGCAAGUCAGGAGUGAAAGCCCGGGGCUCAACCCCGGAACUGCUUUUGAAACUGCCGAGCUCGAGUGCGGAAGAGGCAACUGGAAUUCCCAGUGUAGCGGUGAAAUGCGUAGAUAUUGGGAAGAACACCGGAGGCGAAGGCGGGUUGCUGGGCCGACACUGACGCUGAGGCGCGAAAGCCAGGGGAGCAA